rnacentral:lncRNA from 1 species
GGAUGAGUUUGUCAAGUAUGUGUAUGCUUUGGCUACGACCCGGAGACAGGGUGCUCCUGCCAAAGCAUCCACAUCCAACAAACCCAUCAUUGUUGAUUCUGGAGCAAGUCAUCACAUGAUUAGUGACAGAAGCUUAAUGAGUGAUGUAAAGAAAGCUACUGGGGGUGUGAUGAUAGCUAAUGGUGAUAGGAUUCCUAUAGAAGGAGUUGGAAAGCUCAAGCUAUUUGAUAAAGACUCAGAUGCCUUCUACAUGCCACAGUUUGCUUCAAAUCUACUAUCUGUAAGGAAAGCCACAAUUGAUCUUGGCUGUCAAGUAGUAUUCAGGCCAGAUGAUGUUGAGUUCCAAGAUUUGAAGACUGGAAGGGUCAUUGGGAGAGGAGACAGCAAGAAUAAUCUAUACCAGCUCCAAUUGGCUAAGAUUUCUAAACCCUUUGAUUCUAUGUGUUUGAGUAGUACUUAUGAGAAGAUUGAUAGUAUUACUUGGCAUGCUAGAUUGGGUCAUCCUCAUGCUCGUGCUAUUGAAUUGAUAAUUCCUAAUAUGUCAUUUAAUCACUUGGAGUGUGAAGCAUGCAUAUUAGGAAAGCAUUGUAGGACUGUUUUUCCAACAUCAGAAACUACUUAUGAGCAUUGCUUUGAUCUAGUUCAUUCAGAUGUGUGGACUGCUCCUUGUUUGUCUAGAGAUAGCCAGAAGUACUUUGUGACAUUCAUUGAUGAGAAGUCUAAGUAUACUUGGCUUACAUUGCUUCCAUCUAAAGAUAGGGUGCUAGAAGCAUUUAUGAACUUCCAAGCAUAUGUAUCUAAUCAAUACAAUGCUACUGUGAAGGUACUGAGAUCAGAUAAUGGAGGUGAAUACAUCAGCAAUGCCUUCAAGAGUCAUCUAGCCAAGCAUGGGAUUGUGCAUCAGACUAGCUGUCCUUAUACACCACAGCAGAAUGGUGUAGCUGAGAGGAAGAACAGGCACUUGAUGGAGGUUGCUAGAUCAAUGAUGUUUCAUGCAAAUGUCCCAAAACGUUUUUGGAGUGAUGCUGUGCAGACUGCUUGCUAUCUCAUCAACCGGGUUCCAACCAAGAUAUUGAAGAAUCUGUCUCCAUUUGAAGUGUUGAACAAGAGCAAACCUGUCAUUGAUCACCUACGUGUCUUUGGGUGUGUGUGCUAUGUCAUGGUUCCAGGAGAGCAGAGAAACAAGCUGGAGGCAAAGAGUACUAAGGCUAUGUUCAUUGGUUACUCUAUCACUCAGAAAGGGUACAAGUGCUAUGAUCCUGAAGCAAGGAGAGUGAUGGUAUCUAGAGAAGUGAAGUUUGUUGAAACAAAAGGUUAUUAUGAAGAAAAGGAGUGGGAAAAUCUGAAGGAUUUGUCUCAAGCUCCAUCUGAUAAGGCAACAAUACUGAGAGUGUUGUUGGAGAAGCUCGGGAUAGGGUUGUCCCAGGAUCAGGAACCCGGCAGGAGAGAGUCUUCCAAUCAGACUGGUGGAGCUGGAAGAACAACUCCUCUUGAUCAUGAGAGGGGGAAUGGAACUGAAUCUGGUGAGCAAGAGCAAAACCAAGAGGAUUCAGGUCUUCAUGAUCAAGUUGAGAACAAUGUUCAGUCUAGUGGAGAAGUGGAUGAGGUUCAGUCUAGUGGAGAAGUAGAUGAGGUUCAGUCUAGUGGAGAAGAACAAGUCGGACCGGCCAGUUCAGAAGAAGAGCAAGUGGAGCCGGCUAGUGUGCAAACUGAAGAUCAGGUGCAAGCUUUGAGGAGGAGCACAAGGAUAAAGAGGGAUCCUUCCAACUGGGUAAACACGAGAGUGUACUACAAUGCCCAGGCUGUGGAGCAUCCUUCUCAAGCCGUGUGUUCCUUUGCUGAGUUUCCAGAGGAGCAUUAUGCCUUUAUGAUUAGUCUGGAUGAGAGUUAUGUGCCAAGGACUUAUGAAGAAGCUAUGUUAGACAAGGAAUGGAAAGAAUCAGUGGGAGCUGAAGCAGGUGCUAUGAUCAAGAAUGAUACAUGGUAUGAGAGUGAACUGCCUAAGGGAAAGAAGGCUGUAUCUAGUAGAUGGAUCUUCACAAUUAAGUAUCUAGCAAAUGGACAGAUUGAUAGGAAGAAGACCAGACUGGUUGCAAGAGGAUUUACACAAACCUAUGGAGAGGAUUACAUUGAUACCUUUGCACCAGUAGCUAAGCUGCACACAGUUCGGAUUGUGUUGUCCAUUGCAACAAACUUGGAGUGGGAUUUGUGGCAGAUGGAUGUGAAGAAUGCUUUCUUACAAGGUGAGCUAGAAGAUGAGGUAUACAUGCUUCCUCCUCCUGGUCUUGAGCAUCUAGUAAAACCAGGAAAUGUUUUGAGAUUGAAGAAGGCAAUAUAUGGGCUGAAGCAGUCUCCUAGAGCUUGGUACAGAAAGCUGAGUACAACUCUCAAUGGGAGAGGAUUCAGGAAGUCUGAACUGGAUCAUACACUCUUCACUUUGGUUACUCCAUCAGGGAUCAUUGUGAUACUGGUAUAUGUGGAUGAUUUGAUUAUCACAGGGAGUGAUAAGGCUGGGAUUAAAGCCACUAAAGAGUUCCUCAAGUCUGUGUUUGAUAUUAAAGACUUGGGAGAGAUGAAGUAUUUCUUGGGGAUUGAGAUAUGCAGAUCCAAGGAGGGUUUGUUUAUGUGUCAAAGGAAGUAUACAAUGGAUAUGUUGAAGGAGACUGAUGUACUUGGAGGAAAGGUAGCCAAGACACCUCUUGAAGAGGGGUAUAAGGUCUUACGUGAGGGGGAGGUUGAAGAGAACCAGUUGUUUGAGGAUGCUAAGCUGUAUAGGAAGAUGGUUGGCAAGCUGAUCUACUUGACCAUCACCAGACCAGAUAUAUGUUUUGCUGUGAACCAAGUGAGUCAGCAUAUGCAGGCACCAAAGGUCCAUCACUGGAAGAUGGUUGAUAGGAUACUGAGGUAUCUGAGUGGGACGACUGGACAAGGGGUUUGGAUGGGUUGUAAUGGCAGUACAGAAGUGGUUGGGUAUUGUGAUGCUGAUUGGGCAGGAGAUAGAGUGGACAGGAGAUCAACUACUGGGUAUUGUACAUUCAUUGGAGGAAACUUGGUUACUUGGAAGAGUAAGAAGCAGAAGGUUAUCUCUUGUUCAAGUGCUGAAGCUGAGUAUAGAGCCAUGCUGAAGCUGACAAACGAGUUGGUGUGGAUCAAGGGGAUCUUGAAGCAUCUAGAGAUUGAGCAGAGUACUCCUAUGACUAUGCAUUGUGACAAUCAAGCAGCUAUCCACAUUGCCUCCAACUCAGUGUUUCAUGAGAGAACAAAGCACAUAGAGGUGGAUUGUCAUAAGGUGAGGCAGAUGAUUAUCUUAGGAGUGAUUCUGCCAUGUUAUACAAGAAGUGAAGAUCAGCUUGCAGAUGUGUUUACUAAGGCAGCGAGAUUAAAGACAAUGGAGUCCAUACUAUCCAGGCUUGGACUCAUUGAUCUUACUCCCAGGAGCUGAGCCCCUUAACCAUGGAGUCUCCACUCUUUUUCCCUCAUCAAAGUUUUAUCCCAAUGGGUUUUCUUUGGUGAGGUUUUUAAUGAGGGAGGUCUUCAUGGUUUCCAAGCUUGACUUGUUCCACAUGGUCAAGCUUGAGGGGGAGUGUUGAGAUGAGGUAAUAAAGAGUGACUACAUUGAUAGAGAAAGAGGAUUGAGACAGACAGUAACUUUGGAGUUACCACAGUAACUUUGGUUUUACUGUGGUAACUAAGUUAAAGCUUGGAAAGUUACCUUGGCUCACAUUGGAGAGUAAGCCACGACCAAGAGCUGUAUGGAUAAGGGAGGAGCAGUCUGGAUAAGGUUUCCUCACAGCUAGAGAGGCUGGAGACAGGCUGUAAAGUAGACAGCAUCUAGUAAAAGAUGCCAAAGGGAUCAAGCAUGUGAAGACUCCCAUUGGCUGCUUUUGGAUGGCUCUCUUUGACUACACAUGCCCUGAACCUCUACCUUAUCUAUUGAUUUCGAAAUUGAUUGAUCAAGCAUGUGAAGACUCCCAUUGGCUGCUUUUGGAUGGCUCUCUUUGACUACACAUGCCCUGAACCUCUACCUUAUCUGAUUGAUUUCGAAAUUGAUUGUCUCUCUCAUAUAAGUAUGUUGUAAACCUCAUCUUUAUUAAUUAAUGGAGUUUUGAGUCUCUCUCUCUUUAUUCUCUCUCUAAUCUCUUAAUCUCUUUAAUCUUCUCAUCUGAUUAUCCCUGAUUAGUUGAAUCAUGCUCUAAUACACAAAAGUGUAUACUAUCUUAGAUGCUUAUAGCUACUGUGAGUAUCCCUGAUUGGUUGAAUCAUGCUCUAAUACACAAAAGUGUAUACUUGUAGUAUGUGUGUGUGGAUAAUCUCCAAUGGAGAAUGAUUAGAGCUUGUUUUAGGUGAUUUAGAAGAGAGAUUGAUGAGAGUGUAUAAGAGAAUUAGGAACAGAGAUUAAGAGACUUAAGUAAAGAGAGAGAGCUUGGAAGCGAUUUGAGAGAAAGGAAGUUUGAUGAGUGUUGGUGUGUCUAAGUGUUUAAGAGAUUAGUAACAAGACUGAGAACGUGUAUAGAGAUUCAGGAUGAGAGACUAGAGAGACUAAGAAAGUGUUUCAGAUUAGAGAAGGAGAAGGGAAACCCCCUUACUCACUUAAGAGUUACAAAACAUCACUUAUGAGCUUAUAUAUGCUCUUUACAACUUGCAAUCAUAAACCUAAAUCUAAGGGCUGUUAUAACUUGAAUUUAAAUGAAUGGAUGAGAUGGAGAGAUGGUCUUGGUCGUGGCUGUGCUGUUCCUGAUGGAUAAUUGGUCCAUUUGAAUCUGGUCAAGGGAAGGCUGGCUCCUUAUUGGCUAGCUAAAGGCUCCCAUGAAUCUGCCUGUUAUAACUUGAAUUUAAAUGAAUGGAUGAGAUGGAAAGAUGGUCUUGGUCGUGGCUGGCUCAUGGUCUUGGUCGUGGCUGUGCUGUUCCUGAUGGAUAAUUGGUCCAUUUGAAUCUGGUCAAGGGAAGGCUGGCUCCUUAUUGGCUAGCUAAAGGCUCCCAUGAAUCUGCCCACUUCUUUUGCUAGAUACAUGGUUUCCUUUUGCUUUUACUUUACAGCAAGGGACUCUCCUUUCCAGCCUGUCACUCGCCAGCCUCUCCUUUGUCUUCUUCUCUUAAGAGUUUCACCAGCCUAUCCUUUGCCUUCUUCUCUUAAGAGUUUUGUCUUCUUCUCUUAAGAGUUUUGUGUUCUCUUACUGUGGUUGUUGAGAAGAGGUGAUAAAGAGUGGGUACAUUGAUAGAGGAAGAGAAAUGGGGCAGUCAGUAACGUUGGAGAUUUACCACAUUAACUUUAGUUUUACUGUGGUAACUAAGGUAUAACUUUGGGAAGUUACCUUUCAAUCAUUUGGAGAGUGAAGCACGUCCAAGGAGAGUCUGGAUAAGGAAGGAGCAAUCUGGAUAAGGAAGAAGCAUUCUGGAUAAGGUCUGGUCAUAGCUGGAAAGGUAAAACACCUUUACAGCCUGUCCAAGCAUGUGAGAACACCCAUUGGCUGCUUUUGGAUGGCUCUCCUUGACUCCACACGUUCCUGAUCUCCUCUGACCCUAUGAUUUCGAAUUGUAUCUUGUAUCACUCAUAUAAAUGAGAUUUUAGAGAGUAGAAUAGGUAUUGAGAGAUUAAGAGAGAUUUGGUAAGAGAUUAAGAGAAGUUUAGAAGAGAUUGUGAAAGAAAUGGAGAGAUUAUGUGUGAUCCAUGAUGAACAAGAGAGAGACUAGAGAGAGAGUAACAUAAUCCGCAUCAUCUUAUUGAUCAGUGAGUGUUUACAAUAUAUAGGAGUGUGAUACUAGGGUUUAAGAAGAGACUAAGCAUGUGAGGUCAAAGCUAAGGGAGCCUUUAAUUUGAACCGGACCAAUGAGCCUCUCCACACGCGUGGUCACUAUGCUAAAAGGGAACCUUUUCCUUCCAGCCUGUGCCAGCCUGUAGAGAUGCUCUUCCUCUAUCCAUAAACGGUCAUAUGCCUUCCUCUAUCCAUCAACGGUCAUAAGCCUUCUUUGGUCGAGGUAAAACAUGAUCCGAACGUGAAUUUCUUCUCGCGGUAACACUUCUUUACCGCAUGGUCGAUACCGUCUGUACGGCCGUACGGCCAUGGUACGGACCUGUACGGACCAGUACGGACGGUUCUCCCUAAGGCCAAUCCUUCUCCUCUACUCAACAUCACAACCUCUUCAACCCUGAACAACUCUCCUCAUAUUCCUCAGCUCAUCUCAACACUCCCCCUCAAGCUUGACCAUGUGGAACAAGUCAAGCUUGGAAGGAUCAUGAGCUCCCCCUCAUUAAAAACCUCAUCAAAGAAAACCCAUUGGGACAAAACUCUGAUGAGGGAAAAAGAGUAAGGACCUCAUGAUCAGGAGAGUGUAUAGAUCAGCCCUUAGGCGAAAGAUCAAGGAGUCCCAACCUUAUGUGAAUUGACUCCAUUGUCUUUUGCCUAGCCGCCUUAGUGAAAACAUCUGCCAACUGAUCCUCACUCCUUGUGUAGCACGGCAGUAUCACUCCCAAGACUAUCAUCUGCCUCACUUUAUGACAGUCCACUUCAAUAUGCUUGGUUCUUUCAUGGAACACCGAGUUUGUGGCUAUGUGAAUGGCUGCUUGAUUGUCACAAUGCAUGGUCAUUGGUGUUGCUUGCUCAAUCUCCAAGUGCUUCAGUAUUCCUUUAAUCCAUACCAACUCAUUUGUGAGCUUUAGCAUUGCUCUAUACUCAGCCUCGGCACUUGAGCAUGACACCACCUUUUGCUUCUUACUCUUCCAAGUAACCAUGUUUCCACCAAUGAAUGUGCAAUAGCCGGUUGUAGAUCUUCUAUCUGUUCUGUCUCCAGCCCAAUCUGCAUCACAAUAUCCCACUGCUUCAGUGCUCCCAUUACAACCCAUCCAUAUACCAAGCCCUUGAGUUCCAUUCAGAUACAUGAGAACUCUUUCUACCAUGCGCCAGUGAUGCUCUCUUGGAGCUUGCAUAUGCUGACUCACUUGGUUCACAGCAAAACAGAUGUCUGGCCUAGUAAUGGUUAGAUAGAUCAGCUUCCCCACAAGCUUCCUGUAUAGCUUUGGAUCAUGAAAUGCCUUACUAUCUUCUAGCUCCCCCUCACGUGGAGCUUUAUACCCAUCCUCCAUGGGCAUCUUGGCUGUCUUUCCUCCAUACGCACCAGCCUCCUUCAACAGAUCCAAGAUAUAUUUCCUUUGUGAGAUGAACAGCCCUUCUUCUGAUCUGCACAGCUCAAUUCCAAGGAAGUACUUCAUUUCUCCCAAGUCUUUGAUGUCAAACACAGAUUUCAGAAACUCCUUGGUCUCCUUGAUUCCCACCUUAUCACUGCCUGUGAUAACUAUGUCAUCCACAUAUACAAGAAGCACAACAAUGCCUGCAGGUGUAGUAAGAGUGAAGAGAGUGUGAUCAAGCUCUGAUUUCCUGAAGCCUCUUCCAUUUAGAGUUGUGCUCAGCUUGUGAUACCAUGCCCUUGCUGAUUGCUUUAACCCAUAGAUGGCCUUCUUCAACCUCAGCACAUUCCCUGGUUUCACCAUCCCUUCUAGGCCCGGAGGUGGUAGCAUGUAGACUUCAUCUUCCAACUCUCCUUGGAGAAAUGCAUUCUUCACAUCCAUUUGCCAAAGAUCCCACCCAAGAUUAGUAGCCACUGAUAGGACUAUUCGAAUGGUGUGUAGCUUUGCAACUGGAGCAAAUGUAUCAAUGUAGUCUUCUCCAUAUGUCUGAGUGAACCCUCUUGCUACCAGUCUAGUCUUCUUCCUCUCAAUUGACCCAUCAGCCUUGUACUUGACUGUAAAGAUCCAUCUACUAGACACAGCCUUCUUCCCUUUUGGUAGUUCACUCUCAUACCAUGUAUCAUUCUUUAUCAUAGCUCCUGCCUCAGCUCCUACUGAUUCCUUCCAUUCUUCAUCUUCCAUAGCCUCUUCAUAGCUUCUUGGAAUGUGAUUCUUAUCUAAGUUUACCAUAAAUGCACAAUGUGCUUCUGGAUAUUGAGCAAAGGAACACACGGCCUGAGUAGGAUGCUUCACAGCUUGGGCAUUGUAGUACACUCUCGUGUUUACCCAACUAGAAGGAUCCCUUCUCAGCCUUGUACUCCUUCUCAACACUGGUCCUUCUUGCGCCAUCUCUUGUUCUUCUUCUACUUGUGGAGUGACUGCUUCAGUCUGUACUUCAGCUUCAGCUCUAGCCUCUCCUUGUCUCUGACCUUCUUCAUUCUGACUUUCAUUCAGUUCUUCCCUUGCUGAUCCUUCUCCACUUUGGACAGGAGAAUCAGUUCCUCUGUUUCCUAGCUCACCGGCCUCUUCUAAGCCUUGGUCCUCUAGUUCAGAUACUGAUUCACUUCCCCCCUCAUGUGCAAAGUGGGAUGGUUCUUCUGCUGCAGCUGGAGUAGGUUCUGGACGCCUACUCUGAUCCUGGGACACUCCAAUUCCGAGCCCCUCUAGAAUGUUUCUCAAGCAAGCAGCUCUUUCUGAUGGCUGGGAUAGAUCCUCCAGGUCUUCCCAUGUCUGCUCAUCAUAGUAUCCUUUCUCUUCCAUGAAUCUGACAUCCCUUGACACUAGGACUCUCCUAGCUGUAGGAUCAUAGCAUUUGUAGCCCUUCUGUGAAGUGGAAUACCCAAUCAUCAUGGCCUUGGUGCUCUUUGCUUCUAGUUUGUUUCUCUGCUCGCCUGGUACAAGAACAUAACACACGCAUCCAAAGGUCCUCAGGUGAUCCAAGACUGGCCUGCUCUUGUUAAGUACCUCAAAUGGAGAUUGAUCUGCCAAGAUCCUGGUUGGUAUCCUGUUGAUCAGAUAGCACGCAGUCAUCACAGCAUCACUCCAAUACCUCUUGGGAACCCCUUUGUGGAACAUCAUAGACCGGGACACCUCCAUGAGAUGUCUGUUCUUCCUUUCAGCAACUCCAUUCUGCUGUGGAGUGUAUGGGCAGCUAGUCUGGUGAAGAAUCCCAUGUUGAGCAAGGUGAUCACGAAAUGCAUGCCCAGUAUACUCCCCACCAUUAUCAGACCUGAAAAUCUUAAUCUUGGCAUGAUAUUGGUUAGUCACAUAGGCUUGAAAUUUUUUAAAUGCAUCAAGGACUCUAUCUUUAGUUUUAAUCAAUGUUAACCAGGUGUAUUUGGAUUUUUCAUCAAUGAAUGUGACAUAAUACUUGUAAUCAUCCCUAGAUAAGCAAGGUGCAGUCCAAACAUCAGAGUGAAUUAAAUCAAAGCAGUUUGCAUAAAGAGUAGAUGAUCUUUGAAAAACAGUCUUACAGUGUUUACCCAAAAUACAAGCCUCACAAUCAUUAUUUUUAAACAUGACACCUGGUAACAUAAUGCUUAAAGCCCUAACAUGUGGAUGGCCUAGCCUAGCAUGCCACAGAGCAUCAAUACUUAAGGAAGAAACAGAACUAAACGAGAAACAAGAACUAGAAAUAGGUGCAAGGUCUUCAAUCAUGUAAAGAUCUCCCUUGGUUGCUCCUUGCCCAAUCAACUUACUGCUCUUAAUAUCCUGAAACUUAACAUCAUUAUGACUGAAAAUAACAUUGCAUUGAAGAUCAGUAGUGCAUUUCUUAACUGAUAAGAGAUUAGAGGUGAACUCAGGCAUGUAAAAAGCUUUUGAAUCCUUAUUAAACAAGUUCAGUUUACCAAUGCCUCUAAUGGGAAUUCUAUCUCCAUUUGCAAUCAUAACAUGACCAAGUGCAGGUUCUAUGUCUUUUAUCAGAUUGUUAUCACUAAUCAUGUGAUGAGAUGCACCAGAAUCAAUUAUCAAUGGUUUAUGCAAGCUCCUAGCAGUAUUGAUUCUAGAUGUUUCAUUUUCAGCUUUCAGGCUCUUAACUACUCCUAACAAUCUAUCAGUUAUGCUAGUAUGAGCAGUAGCAGUACAUGAGGUUUUAAAAAUGUCUAACAGCUUAUCAGAGAUACUAGGUAAUGUAUGAGCAGAGUAUGAGUAUCCAAGAGUGUUGCCUAGCAUUUUACCAGACUCCUUGAGGGCUCGGAUGAAUGCCUCAAAGUCAGCCUUGGUGAUCACUUCCUGAGAAGUUAGAACCAUGCCUUCACUUUCACCCGCCUUGACAUUUGGACUAGCCCCUGAUGAGCCAGCACCACUUGCUUCAGCAGAAAGGUGAGCCUUAGCUUCUCUAUCCUUGUUGAACUUGCUUGGCCUGAGGUGUGGAUGUAGGAUCCAGCACUGACUCUUCUUAUGCCCUUGCCGCUUGCAAUGCUCACAGCUUCCCUCAUACUUCUCAUACUUCCUUCCAUCUCCACGGUAUGCUGCCUUGUUUGCUUGCGCCUCUUCUGCUUUAUGAGCCGUGGACAUUCCCUUCUUGCCUCCAAACAACCCAAGAGAGCCUUCCUCCUUCUGAAGUUGUGCACAAACCUCCUCCAUGGAUGGGAGAGUAGGUGAUCUCAGGAUAUGCUUGAUCACAUCCUGGUAGCUUUCAUCUAGAGUCAUCAAUAGCCCAAACACCUGAUCUUGCUCUCUCCUCUCAAUGAGCGAUUCCUCAUCAGUUGUGUUGGGUCUAAGACUCUCAAGUUCGGACCACAACGCUCCAAACUUCCCCAUGUGCUUGGUGAGAUCUUCUCCAUCUUGCCUCAAGACACUGAUGGUUUGCUUCAGAUCAAACACCCGACUUAUGUUGGACUUGUUUCCAUACCUCUUAUGGAGCAUGUCCCAAAGGCGCUUAGGAGUCUCAAAGUGCACGUAAGCUUCAAGUAUGGGGAGCUCCAGAGAGGCAUGGAGCACAGACAGCACCAUCAAAUCCUCUUGGACCCAUCUCUUUGCUUCAGCUACCGCAAGAGUCUUCCCGUCGCCUUCUUCUUCAUCUUCUUUGGCCACUGGCUCCGGACCAUCAUCUGUGAUGUGGUUCCACAGCCCUAGCCUUCCAAUGGUAGUCCUCACCAACUGGGACCACAUCAAGUAGUUCGAGCCUCCCUUCAGUGCAACCGGAACCGUCACCAGUUUGCUAAAGUUGGUCGUCUCCAUCUCCUCUUCUUUAUCACACAAGAACACACUCGCAAAUGUAAAGAAAGGAACAAGGGUCUCUCAAUACCAAAGCCAACCUGGCUCUGAUACCAUAUGAGAUUAGAGAGUAGAAUAGGUAUUGAGAGAUUAAGAGAGAUUUGGUAAGAGAUUAAGAGAAGUUUAGGAGAGAUUGUGAAAGAAAUGGGGAGAUUUAUGUAUGAACCAUGAUGAACAAGAGAGAGACUAGAGAGAGAGUAACAUGAUUCGCAUUAAUCAAUUAAUCAGAGAGAGUUUACACUUAUAUAUGAAGCUUAAGACACUAGGGUUUAGACUGCAUAAAGGAGAAAGCAUGUGAAGUCAAGAUACAGCUAAGGGCGGAUUUGAAUCCUUCCAAUGAGAGUCUCCACAUGUGUAAGGCAUCUUUGAAUAUGCCUUUACCUUUCCAGCUCUUGCCAGACUGUCAGACGCGUUCCUCCUUAUCCUCUCAACGUUCGGAUCAAGCUCAGCCUUAAGGUAAAGUAACUCUAGCUGGUUUACUUUUACCUGAGCUAAGUAACCCCUUAACCGCGCAUGAUGGUACGGCCUGAUCGUCCGUACCCUUUGCCCUAUCCGUACAGUCCGUACAAGAUGCUUCUAUCUUCCUCUCUAAUGCUUCUACACUUCCUAAGGUCUCCUCUUCAUACCAUAAGGCUCUCUUCUUAACACUCCCCCUCAAGCUUAGCUUUGUGAC